GACGAGGGGUCCUAGCGUUGUUCGGAAUCACUGGGCGUAAAGCGUUUGUAGGCUGCUCUAUAAGUCGGGUGUGAAAUCCCAUGGCUCAACCAUGGAAGUGCAUUCGAAACUGCAGAGCUUGAAUAUGGUAGAGGAGAGUAGAAUUCCUGGUGUAGUGGUGAAAUACGUAGAUAUCAGGAGGAAUACCGGUGGCGAAGGCGGCUCUCUGGACCAAUAUUGACGCUGAGAAACGAAAGUGCGGGGAUCAAACAGG
rnacentral:rRNA from 1 species